UGGGGAAUAUUGCACAAUGGAGGGAACUCUGAUGCAGCAACGCCGCGUGCGGGAUGACGGCCUUCGGGUUGUAAACCGCUUUCAGCCAUGACGAAGCUUUUGUGACGGUAGUGGUAGAAGAAGCACCGGCUAACUACGUGCCAGCAGCCGCGGUGAUACGUAGGGUGCGAGCGUUGUCCGGAAUUAUUGGGCGUAAAGAGCUUGUAGGCGGUUUGUCGCGUCGAUAGUGCAAACUCAGUGCUUAACGCUGAGCCUGCUGUUGAUACGGGCAGACUAGAGGAAGGUAGGGGAGAAUGGAAUUCCCGGUGGAGCGGUGGAAUGCGCAGAUAUCGGGAGGAACACCGGUGGCGAAGGCGGUUCUCUGGGCCUUUCCUGACGCUGAGAAGCGAAAGCGUGGGGAGCGAACAGG
rnacentral:rRNA from 1 species